GCCGAGAUGGCUGAACCAGGUUAAAGCGGUAGUCUCGAAAACUACUGCCCGCAAGGGCUUGCAGGUUCAAAUCCUGCUCUCGGCG
rfam:Candidatus Micrarchaeota archaeon RBG_16_36_9 RBG_16_scaffold_1313, whole genome shotgun sequence.